GACGAACGCUGGCGGCGUGCUUAACACAUGCAAGUCGAACGGAAAGGCCCUGCUUUUGUGGGGUGCUCGAGUGGCGAACGGGUGAGUAACACGUGAGUAACCUGCCCUUGACUUUGGGAUAACUUCAGGAAACUGGGGCUAAUACCGGAUAGGAGCUCCUGCUGCAUGGUGGGGGUUGGAACGUUUCGGCGGUUGGGGAUGGACUCGCGGCUUAUCAGCUUGUUGGUGGGGUAGUGGCUUACCAAGGCUUUGACGGGUAGCCGGCCUGAGAGGGUGACCGGCGACAUGGGGACUGAGAGACGGCCCAGACUCCUACGGGAGGCAGCAGUGGGGAAUAUUACACAAUGAGCGGAAGCCUGAUGCAGCAACGCCGCGUGCGGGAUGACGGCCUUCGGGCUGUAAACCGCUUUCGCCUGUGACGAAGCGUGAGUGACGGUAAUGGGUAAAGAAGCACCGGCUAACUACGUG
rnacentral:rRNA from 1 species